rnacentral:rRNA from 1 species
AUGCUGCACAAUUGUAGUACAUGGUUGGUUGCCCAUCUGAAGCACUGUGAACUGAGUAAGAGGGUACAGUUGGUGCAAAAUUCAGACGCAAACGUAUCAUCUUGUAUGUGCUGGUACACCGUAGAAUCAGAAUUAUGCAUAUUUUUCACCGACACCAACGGCGGCGGCCGUCGCCCCUCCCUCCGACGAGCGGGCGGGCUAGAGGCUUGCAAGGGUGCGGAGGUCGACGGGGUGCACGUCGGAGGCGAGCCGGGCGGCGUAGGCCCGCUGGCCGACGAGCACGUUGGCGGCCUCGGUGGGGUGGAAGGCGUCCCAGAAGAGGUACUCGUUGCGGUUGGGGCACGGCGUCUGGAACGGCAGGCAGGUGACCUGCCCGUUGUUCCGCCCCACGCCGCAGCAGCCCCGGUUGGUCACCUUCAGGCCAUGGCCGCCCGGCGCCCGGAGGAUGUCGGAGAAGAUGCCGUCGAUGUUGAUGUAGGUGAAGUGCGCGCCGGGGAGGAGGCGGUUGAACUGGUCGACCAUGCCGACGAGCCGCUGGUUGAACAUCCGGACGGCAACGUUGAUCCGGUCGACGCAGGCCACGCCGUUGGCGCUCUGCGUGGCCAGCUCGUUGGGGCUGCACCCGACCUGCCCCACGCCGAUGAGCGCCACCUUGCGCGCCCCGUAGCUGUAGAGCGCGCGCAGGAGCUGCGUGUAGCGCGCCGCCAGGUCGUCGGCGUACUGCGCCGGCGUGUAGCGGCUGCCGGUGUUGUAGAAGGCCGGCAUGAAGUAGUUGUUGAGGUAGUCGUUGCUGCCCAUGCCGACGGUGAAGAUGCACUGGCUCAGGCGGUUCGCCGCCGCGUCCUCGUCCCCCAGGAUGCUCACCAGCUGCUCCACCGCGCUCUGGUAGUUCUGCACCUGCCCGCUGAAGCUGAUGCGCCCACCCUGCAGCCAGAAGCAUCUCUUGAGGAAUCGGCAUGA